rnacentral:tRNA from 1 species
UCAAAAGAUAAGCUAAUCAAGCUAAUGGGCUCAUACCUCAUUUAUGAGAGGUAAUCUCUCUCUUUUU